rnacentral:rRNA from 1 species
AACGGAUUUGGCGGCGAGAUAGCCCAUUAGAGGAACCUGCCCUGUAAACGAUGGUCCACGAUAAACUUGCUAUAUUUUGAAAUCAGUUUGUAUACCGCUGUUGUCGGUUAGUUCUAGUAGGAAACUUUCAGGAAAUGGAUUAAUACCAUAGACUUCAAGUAAAGGUGCAGCUAAUAUUAUAGAAAGAGGUGGGUUACAUUUAUUUGAAUAAUACGGAAAGCUGAAUGAAAAAAGGCUGGAAGGUGGAUUUAAUAGUAAAUUCUUGCGGAGAUUUGAUUAGAGCUCUAUCUUGUGUACACACCGCCCGUC